rnacentral:lncRNA from 1 species
AUGCGCCUCCCUGGAAGUGCUGCAAUGAGGGGGCAUCAUGCACUCCCUGCAGUCUUUGCAGAGGCAUUAAGGUUCCAGGGCAGCCUGGCUGAAAUCCCCCUGCCAACACGGACUAGCUGUGCUGCUUCAGGCAACUUUUUUUUCUCUUUUCUAAGAUUUUAUUUAUUUAUUCAUGAGGGGCACAGAGAGAGAGGCAGAGGGAGCAGCAGACUCCCCGCAGGGAGCCGGAUGCGGGACUCGAUCCCAGGACCCCGGGGUCACGGCCCCACCGAAGGCAGGUGCUCAACCGCUGAGCUGCCCAGGUGCGCCUGGAGGCAACGACUUAACCCUAGUUUCCCCACCUGUAAAAGGGGAGCGAGGAGCUAUCUCGGAAAACCGCCUCCUAGCCCGGUGCGUGCGAGAGUCGCAGCCUCAAGGAAGGCAGUGUUAAUGAAAUUCUUGGCAAACAACUUAUGGCCUGGGAAUAUACCAAUUCUUGUGCUCAGUGAUAUUUGCAGAAAAAGUUUCCCAAGAUCUGAAUCGUGUGUACCAAAGGGAGACAAAGAAGCUGAAGGGAGAGAAGAGGGUCCUUAUCCCCCUACGUUAAAGGAUCCUUUGGAAACAGUCCAGCCCCCAUCCCCCCCUUUUUUUGCAAAAUGAUGGCAGUGAAACCUUGGAAGGCAUGGAUACAAAAAUGAAUGGCUGAAGGGAAAUGCUCUCGAAUCCAUGUUAGGGUCAAAAAUCUGCAUUUAAACCUUAAAAUAAAAGCCUCGAGUAUUCUUUUCCCCUCUUGACC